rnacentral:rRNA from 1 species
AUUGAACGCUGGCGGCAUGCUUUACACAUGCAAGUCGAACGGUAACAGGUUAAGCUGACGAGUGGCGAACGGGUGAGUAAUGCAUCGGAACGUGCCCGAUCGUGGGGGAUAACGUAGCGAAAGUUACGCUAAUACCGCAUACGAUCUGAGGAUGAAAGCGGGGGACCGUAAGGCCUCGCGCGAUCGGAGCGGCCGAUGUCAGAUUAGGUAGUUGGUGGGGUAAAGGCUCACCAAGCCGACGAUCUGUAGCUGGUCUGAGAGGACGACCAGCCACACUGGGACUGAGACACGGCCCAGACUCCUACGGGAGGCAGCAGUGGGGAAUUUUGGACAAUGGACGCAAGUCUGAUCCAGCCAUGCCGCGUGCGGGAAGAAGGCCUUCGGGUUGUAAACCGCUUUUGUCAGGGAAGAAAAGGCUCCUUCUAAUAUAGGGGGCUCAUGACGGUACCUGAAGAAUAAGCACCGGCUAACUACGUGCCAGCCGCCGCGGUAAUAC